rnacentral:rRNA from 1 species
UCAGGAAUCUUGGACAAUGGACGAAAGUCUGAUCCAGCGACGCCGCGUGGAGGAUGAAGGCCUUCGGGUUGUAAACUCCUUUUAUAGAAAAACAAAGUAUGAGUAUUCUAUGAAUAAGUGACUCCUAACUUCGUGCCAGCAGGAGCGGUGAUACGAAGGUCACAAGCGUUAUCCGGAAUUACUGGGCGUAAAGAGAUGCGUAGGUGUUUGAUUAAGUUGUUUGUUAAAUCCCUUGGCUUAACUGAGGAACUGCAAGCAAUACUGGUCAAAUUGAGGUAAGUAGAGGAAGUAGGAAUUUCCGGUGGAGCAGUUAAAUGCGUUGAUAUCGGAAAGAACACCAAUGGCGAAGGCAUACUUCUGGGCUUCACCUGACACUAAGGCUCGAAAGCGUGGGGAGCAAAACGG